rnacentral:lncRNA from 1 species
AUUCUCUGUGUUUGUACACACACGUCUUCGAAGAGACAAAAUAUAAUGGGUCUAUUGGUACUUUACAUGAUCAUUAGGAUCUUGCAAAGGAAACCCAAAAACAGAUCCUCAAUGCUCCACGCCCUGGCUUCUCUUCAGGGAUCCUGAGACCCAGGGCGCUGGACUUAACUUGCCAAAAACUCCCCAAGUCGGACUUGGUAUGCACAAGAAAGCACUUCCCUCUUGUUAAAUGACCUCGCCUCAUCAUGGAACCAUAAAAAGAAAGCUUUCAGAUCAUUUGUCUCCAUCACGAAAAUUUAUAAAAAUGAGGUUUUUUUUUUUUUUUUUUUAAAAAGUUAAAUUAUUUUGGCCUGUGAGUUUCAGAUGGGGUUGUGUAUUUCCCUAAAGGGUCAAAAAUAGAACAUUUAUUAAAUGGCAAGUUAUUCAAAAACCAGCACAGGCCCCAGUUGUCUUUCAAAAGCUCUGAUUUACUGGAUAUUUCUCCCUUGAGAGAGGCCUUUUUAAAAUGUUCAUUUCCAUUUUAAGAGACGGAGGGCUUUGAUCUGUUGGGAGCAUUCUUUUUCUUUCCCUGAGUGGGACCUGUCGACUCCUCCAGGCAGAACUGGAGCCUUGCUCUCAGGGUCUGUAUUUUUCCACGGACUUCCCAGGCAUCCAGACAGCAUCUCUCAAAUCGGCAUUCACCCCGGUCAAUCUGGAAGUCAGCAUUGGUGAGUCCCUACCCAGGGGACAUGUGGUCUCAUGUUUUUGUCACACCUAAAUCAGAACCCAGUUUCCAGGACAUAAGGCAAAGAUCUACAAGAACCCUGGAGUUCCUAUUAUUUUGAAACCGAGAA